rnacentral:rRNA from 1 species
AUUGAACGCUGGCGGCAUGCCUUACACAUGCAAGUCGAACGGCAGCACGGGGCAACCUGGUGGCGAGUGGCGAACGGGUGAGUAAUGCAUCGGAACGUACCUUUCAGUGGGGGAUAACGUAGCGAAAGUUACGCUAAUACCGCAUAUUCUGUGAGCAGGAAAGCAGGGGAUCGCAAGACCUUGCGCUGAUUGAGCGGCCGAUGUCAGAUUAGCUAGUUGGUGAGGUAAAGGCUCACCAAGGCGACGAUCUGUAGCGGGUCUGAGAGGAUGAUCCGCCACACUGGAACUGAGACACGGUCCAGACUCCUACGGGAGGCAGCAGUGGGGAAUUUUGGACAAUGGGGGCAACCCUGAUCCAGCCAUGCCGCGUGAGUGAAGAAGGCCUUCGGGUUGUAAAGCUCUUUCGGCCGGGAAGAAAUCGCACGGGCUAAUACCCUGUGUGGAUGACGGUACCGGAAUAAGAAGCACCGGCUAACUACGUGCCAGCAGCCGCAGUAAAAC